rnacentral:rRNA from 1 species
UACGGAGGGUGCAAGCGUUGCUCGGAAUCAUUGGGCGUAAAGGGCGCGUAGGCGGGCGCGUAAGUCGAUUGUGAAAGCCCUGGGCUUAACCCGGGAACUGCAGUCGAUACUGCGUGUCUUGAGUGCUUGAGAGGGUACUGGAAUUCCUGGUGUAGAAGUGAAAUUCGUAGAUAUCAGGAGGAACACCGGAGGCGAAGGCGGGUACCUGGCGAGCUACUGACGCUGAGGCGCGAAAGUGCGGGGAGCAAACAGGAUUAGAUACCCUGGUAGUCCGCACCGUAAACGAUGGACACUAGAUGUUCGGGGAGUUAACCCCCUGAGUAUCAAAGCUAACGCAUUAAGUGUCCCGCCUGGGGAGUACGGCCGCAAGGUUGAA